GGGGCUCCCACAGUGCAGCGGCGGGCUGAAGGGCUCCUCAAGCGCGGCCAGAGUGGGCGCCAAGGCGAAGGAGGCGCCCAGAGCGAGUGAGGGCUGUGAGGGCUGCCAGGAUGCUGUCAUCUCUCAAUAACACGAUAAACACAGUGUUGGAGCGUAGGCCUGGAUAACUCCAAGACUCCCUCCCACUUGGUGUGUUAUAGACUUAUAAGUCUGAAAAGGAGAGUCAAGUCUGACAAUUAAGAACAAGUGUUUGAGGAGAAACUGGCAAUCAAUUAAAGAGGCUGAAAACAACUGUGCAACCUUCAAACAAGCUCUCAGAUUGUAUCUCUCAGGAGAGGCACCUUCACACCAACACAUGUGUCCAUGAUUUUCCAGUGGGCUCAAUCAUUACCAACUAAAUGCCAACCCCCAGAAAGGACACCUCACUUUUACACACUUCUGUUGGCCAAGGCAAGUCAAAUAGCAAUACCUAACAUUAAGAGAGCAGGGCUGGGUGCAGCGGCUCACGCCUGUAAUCCUAGUACUUUGGGAGGCCAAGGCGGGUGGAUUGCCUGAGUUCAGGAGUUCGAUAUCAGCCUGGGGAACAUGGUGAAACCUCAUCUCUACUAAAAAUACAAAAAAUUAGCUGGGCGUAGCAGCGUGCACCUGUAAUCCCAGUUACUUGGGAGGCUGAGAGAGGAGAAUCGCUUGAAUCCGGGAGGCAGAGGUUGCGGUGAGCUGAGAUCGCACCAUUGCAUUCCAGCCUGGGUGACAAAGCCAGACUCCAUCUCAAAACAAAACAAAACAAAACAAAAAAAACAGGUCAGCAAAAUUCUUCAAAAGUAAAAAGUAUUUGCACAGGCACACACAGCAGUAAUGUCUACAACCCAGACCAGGUACCAAAAAGCACUUCAUUGGCCGGGCGCGGUGGCUCACACCUGUAAUCCCAGCACUUUGGGAGGCCAAGAUGGGCAGAUCACGAGGUCAGGAAAUUGAGACCAUCCUGGCUAACAUGGUGAAACCCCAUCUCUAAUAAAAAUACAAAAAAAUUAGCUGGGCGUGGUGGCAGGCGCCUGUAGUCCCAGCUACUUGGGAGGCUGAGGGAGGAGAAUGGUGUGAACCUGAGAGGCGGAGCUUGUAGUGAGCCAAGAUCACGCCCCUGCACUCCAGCCUGGGUGACAGAGCAAGACUCCAUCUCAAAAAAAAAAAAAAAAAAAAAA
ensembl:lncRNA novel transcript